CCGAUUGUCCGAGCUUCCACAGUACCAUCCGGACUUCUCCAAUAAUGAGCUCCUUCAUUCAUCUAUCGGACCGCUUCAAAUGCUGUCAGGGCUUCACUAUCAGUCGAUUUUUUACAGUGAUCGACUACUCUCUGAAUCUCUUUCAGACUUCUUCCUGUCACGAUCGACUACACUCUGAGCUUCUUCCAAACUUCGUCAAUGUCCGAACUUCUCCAGCAGCAGGACUUCUACAGUAGCCAGACUCUGUCUAAGUUUCUACGGUGGUGAACCACCUUCCGA
rnacentral:lncRNA from 1 species